rnacentral:rRNA from 1 species
CUGGGCUAGACAACAUCGGACAGCCCCAGAAAUGGGGUCUCCCCGCAAGGGGCCGGUGGUUCAGGUGCUGCAUGGCUGUCGUCAGCUCGUGUCGUGAGAUGUUGGGUUAAGUCCCGCAACGAGCGCAACCCUUGUCCUGUGUUGCCAGCAUGCCCUUCGGGGUGAUGGGGACUCACAGGAGACCGCCGGGGUCAACUCGGAGGAAGGUGGGGACGACGUCAAGUCAUCAUGCCCCUUAUGUCUUGGGCUGCACACGUGCUACAAUGGCCGGUACAAUGAGCUGCGAUACCGUGAGGUGGAGCGAAUCUCAAAAAGCCGGUCUCAGUUCGGAUUGGGGUCUGCAACUCGACCCCAUGAAGUCGGAGUUGCUAGUAAUCGCAGAUCAGCAUUGCUGCGGUGA